GUUGGACUAAAGGAAGAUCAAAGCAAGACAUGAAUUGUUUUUUUUUUCCUUUUUCUUUACGUUUUGAGGUUGUUUUAGGGUUUUGAUAUGGCUACUGCAGAAGCUUUAUAUUUGAUUCCUGCUGCUGUUCUGCGUAAUCUAUCUGAUAAGUUGUACGAGAAGCGGAAAAAUGCCGCACUUGAGUUGGAAGGGAUAGUGAAGCAAUUGGCAGUAGCUGGUGAUCAUGACAAGAUCACUGCAGUCAUCAAUUUGUUGACCAACGAGUAUACAUAUUCCCCGCAGGCUAAUCACCGCAAAGGAGGGUUGAUAGGAUUGGCUGCUGUAACUGUUGGUUUGACUUCAGAAGCAGCUCAACAUCUUGAGCAAAUUGUGCCGCCAGUCUUAAAUUCUUUCUCAGAUCAAGAUAGCAGAGUGCGUUAUUAUGCAUGUGAAGCUCUGUAUAAUAUAGCAAAGGUCGUAAGAGGAGAUUUCAUUGUGUUCUUCAACCAGAUCUUUGAUGCAUUAUGUAAGCUUUCAGCAGACUCAGAUGCUAAUGUGCAAAGUGCUGCUCAUCUUUUA
rnacentral:misc_RNA from 1 species